rnacentral:rRNA from 2 species
UUGAAGAGUUUGAUCAUGGCUCAGAUUGAACGCUGGCGGCAGGCCUAACACAUGCAAGUCGAACGGUAACAGGAAACAGCUUGCUGUUUCGCUGACGAGUGGCGGACGGGUGAGUAAUGUCUGGGAAACUGCCCGAUGGAGGGGGAUAACUACUGGAAACGGUAGCUAAUACCGCAUAACGUCGCAAGACCAAAGAGGGGGACCUUCGGGCCUCUUGCCAUCGGAUGUGCCCAGAUGGGAUUAGCUAGUAGGUGGGGUAACGGCUCACCUAGGCGACGAUCCCUAGCUGGUCUGAGAGGAUGACCAGCCACACUGGAACUGAGACACGGUCCAGACUCCUACGGGAGGCAGCAGUGGGGAAUAUUGCACAAUGGGCGCAAGCCUGAUGCAGCCAUGCCGCGUGUAUGAAGAAGGCCUUCGGGUUGUAAAGUACUUUCAGCGGGGAGGAAGGGAGUAAAGUUAAUACCUUUGCUCAUUGACGUUACCCGCAGAAGAAGCACCGGCUAACUCCGUGCCAGCAGCCGCGGUAAUACGGAGGGUGCAAGCGUUAAUCGGAAUUACUGGGCGUAAAGCGCACGCAGGCGGUUUGUUAAGUCAGAUGUGAAAUCCCCGGGCUCAACCUGGGAACUGCAUCUGAUACUGGCAAGCUUGAGUCUCGUAGAGGGGGGUAGAAUUCCAGGUGUAGCGGUGAAAUGCGUAGAGAUCUGGAGGAAUACCGGUGGCGAAGGCGGCCCCCUGGACGAAGACUGACGCUCAGGUGCGAAAGCGUGGGGAGCAAACAGGAUUAGAUACCCUGGUAGUCCACGCCGUAAACGAUGUCGACUUGGAGGUUGUGCCCUUGAGGCGUGGCUUCCGGAGCUAACGCGUUAAGUCGACCGCCUGGGGAGUACGGCCGCAAGGUUAAAACUCAAAUGAAUUGACGGGGGCCCGCACAAGCGGUGGAGCAUGUGGUUUAAUUCGAUGCAACGCGAAGAACCUUACCUGGUCUUGACAUCCACGGAAGUUUUCAGAGAUGAGAAUGUGCCUUCGGGAACCGUGAGACAGGUGCUGCAUGGCUGUCGUCAGCUCGUGUUGUGAAAUGUUGGGUUAAGUCCCGCAACGAGCGCAACCCUUAUCCUUUGUUGCCAGCGGUCCGGCCGGGAACUCAAAGGAGACUGCCAGUGAUAAACUGGAGGAAGGUGGGGAUGACGUCAAGUCAUCAUGGCCCUUACGACCAGGGCUACACACGUGCUACAAUGGCGCAUACAAAGAGAAGCGACCUCGCGAGAGCAAGCGGACCUCAUAAAGUGCGUCGUAGUCCGGAUUGGAGUCUGCAACUCGACUCCAUGAAGUCGGAAUCGCUAGUAAUCGUGGAUCAGAAUGCCACGGUGAAUACGUUCCCGGGCCUUGUACACACCGCCCGUCACACCAUGGGAGUGGGUUGCAAAAGAAGUAGGUAGCUUAACCUUCGGGAGGGCGCUUACCACUUUGUGAUUCAUGACUGGGGUGAAGUCGUAACAAGGUAACCGUAGGGGAACCUGCGGUUGGAUCACCUCCUU